rnacentral:rRNA from 1 species
AUGGAGAUCGAGAGGGAGGCGCCGGGCGGCGAGAGGGGGAGGAGCUGGCGAGCCGAGCAAGAUGUGCAGGAUGGUAAGAAGUUCGAAGACGGUGAUGAGACGCUCGUCAAGGAGCCGGCAUGGAAGCGAUUCCUCUCCCAUGUUGGGCCCGGGUUCAUGGUGUCCCUGGCCUAUCUAGAUCCUGGCAAUUUGGAGACGGACCUGCAAGCCGGUGCCAACCACAGAUAUGAGCUCCUCUGGGUGAUUCUGAUUGGCCUCAUCUUCGCGCUGAUCAUACAGUCACUGGCAGCGAACCUUGGCGUGGUUACAGGAAAGCAUCUUGCCGAGAUAUGCAAGAGCGAGUAUCCGAAGCCGGUGAUGAUCUGCCUCUGGCUUCUUGCGGAGGUGGCGGUGAUCGCCGCCGAUAUCCCGGAAGUGAUCGGGACGGCCUUCGCUUUCUACCUCUUGUUCCGCAUCCCUGUGUGGAUCGGGGUUCUCAUCACCGGCUCCAGCACGCUCCUCCUCCUCGGCCUUCAAAGAUACGGGGUGCGGAAGCUGGAGUUUCUCAUCUCCAUGCUGGUCUUCGUCAUGGCGGCGUGCUUCUUCGGGGAGCUGAGCAUAGUGAAGCCUCCGGCGAAGGAGGUCCUCAAGGGGCUGUUCAUUCCCAAGCUCAAGGGGAAUGGCGCCACCGGAGACGCCAUUGCCCUCCUUGGAGCACUAGUCAUGCCUCACAACUUGUUCUUGCAUUCGGCGUUGGUGCUGUCCAGGAAGACGCCGUCAUCAGUAAGAGGAAUCAAGGAUGCUUGCAGGUUCUUCCUGUAUGAGAGCGGCUUCGCGCUGUUUGUGGCGCUGCUCAUCAACAUAGCCGUCAUCUCCGUCUCCGGGACGGUCUGCUUCGGGGAGAACCUCUCGGCGGAGGACAUCGACAAAUGCAGUGACCUCAGUCUGGACAACUCCUCAUUUCUGCUCAAGAACGUGCUGGGAAGAUCAAGUUCAAUCGUGUACGGGGUGGCGCUGUUAGCGUCAGGGCAAAGCUCGACCAUUACCGGCACAUAUGCCGGCCAGUACAUCAUGCAGGGGUUCUUGGACAUCAAGAUGAAGACGUGGCUGAGGAACCUGAUGACACGCUGCAUCGCCAUUGCGCCCAGCCUAGUCGUCUCCAUCAUCGGCGGGUCGAAUGGCGCCGGCCGUCUCAUCAUCAUCGCGUCGAUGAUACUGUCGUUUGAGCUGCCGUUUGCACUCAUCCCGCUUCUCAAGUUCAGCAGCAGCAGCAGCAAGAUGGGCCCGCACAAGAACUCCAUCUACAUCAUCGUGUUCUCGUGGACGCUUGGGCUGAUGCUCAUCGGCAUCAACGUCUACUUCCUCAGCACCAGCUUCAUGGGGUGGCUCAUCCACAGCUCGCUGCCCACGUACGCCAAGGUGCUCGUCGGAGUUGUCGUGUGCCCGCUGAUGAUCGUGUACCUCAUCGCUGUCGUCUACCUCACCUUCAGGAAGGACACCGUCGUCACCUUCGUCGCCGACUCGUGCAAGGCCGACGCCGAGAAGGCGGCGGGCGGCAGCGGGGAGGACGACGACGAGCCCGUGCCCUACCGUGAGGACCUGGCAGACAUACCGCUCCCGGCCCACAGCAGAGGCUAG